rnacentral:rRNA from 1 species
AUUGAACGCUGGCGGCAGGCCUAACACCUGCAAGUCGAGCGGAGCGACGUACGAGUGAGUAAUGCCUAGGAAUCUGCCUGGUAGUGUGGGAUCACGUCCGGAAACGGGCGCUAAUACAGCAUACUAUAAAAUGAGCCUAGGUCGGAGUAGCUAGUUGGUGGUGUAACGGCCUACCAAGGCGACGAUCCGUAACUGGUCGGAGAGGAUGAUCAGUCACACUGGAACUGAGACACGGUCCAGACUCCUACGGGAGGCAGCAGUGGGGAAUAUUGGACAAUGGGCGAAAGCCUGAUCCAGCCAUGCCGCGUGUGUGAAGAAGGUCUUCGGAUUGUAAAGCACUGUCAGUUGGGAGGCGUUACCAACAGAAUAAGCACCGGCUAACUUCGUGCCAGCAGCCGCGGUAAUUC